GAAUUGCGAUAUGUAAUGUGAAUUGCAGAAUUCAGUGAAUCAUCGAAUCUUUGAACGCACAUUGCACUCUCUGGUAUUCCGGAGAGUAUGCCUGUUUGAGUGUCAUUUAUCUCUCAACAUUGGCAAGGUUAUUUAUUUAAUCUGUCAUUGUUUGGACUAUGAAGGCAUGUUGGUGUUAACAGCGUCAACUCCUUUUAAACAUAUUAGCGGAACUUGGUUGAUUCAGCUUCGGUUUGGUAAAUAUUUAUCGUGUGCUGUCGCUGAAAAGACAAUUGUUUGGCUUCAAACUGUCUUCGGACUGUCCAUUACUUGGGCAUAACAAAAUUGACACUUGACCUCAAAUCAGGUAGGACUACCCGCUGAACUUAA
rnacentral:misc_RNA from 1 species